rnacentral:rRNA from 1 species
UACGAAGGGUGCAACCGUUGCUCGGAAUUAUUGGGCGUAAAGCGCACGUAGGCGGCUUGGCAAGUCGGAUGUGAAAGCCCUCGGCUCAACCAAGGAAGUGCAUCCGAAACUGCCGAGCUUGAGUACUUAAGAGGAUCGCGGAAUUCCCGGUGUAGAGGUGAAAUUCGUAGAUAUCGGGAGGAACACCAGUGGCGAAGGCGGCGAUCUGGGAAGAUACUGACGCUGAGGUGCGAAAGCGUGGGGAGCAAACAGG